rnacentral:lncRNA from 1 species
GGGUUUCCCUGAGUAGCCCUGGUUGUUCUGGAACUUGCUCUGUAGACCAGGCUGGCCUCAAACUCAGAGAGAUCCACCUGCCUCCACCUCCGCCUCCGCCUCCGCCUCUGCUGGCAUUAAAGGAAUGCUCCACCACUGCCAGCAGCUCCAUUCAGGUAAUUUAUUUAUUUAUUUAUUUAUUUGUUUGUUUAUUUAAUAUAUAAUAGUACACCAUUGUUCUCUUCAGACACACCAGAAGAGGGCAUUGGAUCCCAUUACAGGUAGUUGUGAGCCACCAUCUGGUUGCUGGGAAUUGAACUCAGGACCUUUGGAAGAGCAGUCGGUGCUCUUAACCACUGCCCCCAUUCAGAUAAUCUUAAAUGCAUGUGAGAGACUUCCAUAUUCCAAUGACCUUGGACAUCUUCAAGGUCAUGACCACACUGAGUAAAAUAAAUCACAUUAUUAAAUUGAUCUCACUUUCUGGAACAUUUUUGUGUGACGAAUAAAACACUUUAAGACACAUCUUGGAUGACACAUGCCUCUCAUGUUGUUUUUACUUUUCUGUGAUCCUUGGAUGUGCCAAAUGUGUUCCUUCUUUGGGACUUUGCACCUGAUAUUUCUUUCACUCUAAUACGGGUGUCCAGAGAGCUGCAAACAUCUUUUCUUUACUCCAUUAACGUUUUUGAUUAAAUACCAGAUUAUCAGCCCAUAAUUCCCUCCUCUCUCCCCCAUCCAGCUUUCCUGGGUAAGACUACGACGUGCUAAUGUUUUGUUGCCUGUUGUUUGUCUUUCCAGGGGUGAGCAGCUGUUUGUAUCCAUGUGAACUGAAGCUUUCCUCUAACAUAAUCAUUAAAGCAAUCCCAACAUUUAGAACACUACCUGGCAGCUGCUGGUACAAUGGGCAUUCAACAAGUACCGGGUGUCUUAGUUAGGGUUUCUAUCACUUUGACGAAGACCCCAUGACCACAGCAGCUCUGAUAAGGAAAAACAUUUCACUGACACUAGUUUACAGUUUCAGAGGUGUAGUCCGUUAUCAUCAUAGCAGGCAGACAUGAUGCUGGAGAAGGAGCUGAGAGUUCUGCAUCUUGAUCUAAAGGCAGCAACAGAAGAUUGUGUGCCACUCUGGGUACGGCUUGAACACACAAAGCCUCAAAGCCUGUCCCCAUAGUGAUACACAUCCACCGGCAAGGUCAUCCCUACUCCAAUAAGGCCAUACCUCCUAAUAGUGACACUCCCCAUGGGCCUGCGGGGGCCAUUUUUACUCAAACCACUUCACUGGACAGGAAGUCAUAAAUGAUUUGACUCCGAAAGGAUUCCGAAUGUUAAGUUGACUAGUUGAGAAUAAGCUAGAUGAUUGUGUAUUUGAUGUGUGUGAGGUUUCUUCCUUUAUUUCUUGCUCUUUUUCAGAGCUGCAUUAUUUUGUUUUGGCAAGUCUUACCAGGCAGCUUUCAACGUUUAUCAACCUCGUUAGCCAGUUUCCAGACCAGGCUCCUUAGCCGUUGUUAAAGAACCAAUGGCUUCAAAUCCUGGUUGCCCUUUUGCCCCUC